UACGUAGGGGGCUAGCGUUGUCCGGAAUCAUUGGGCGUAAAUAGCGCGUAGGCGGCCAGAUAAGUCCGGUGUGAAAGUCACAGGCUCAACCUGUGAAUGCCGCUGGAAACUGUCUGGCUAGAGUCCGGAAGGGGCGAGUGGAAUUCCUGGUGUAGCGGUGAAAUGCGCAGAUAUCAGGAGGAACACCAAUGGCGAAGGCAGCUCGCUGGGACGGUACUGACGCUGAGGCGCGAAAGCGUGGGGAGCGAACAGG
rnacentral:rRNA from 1 species